rnacentral:rRNA from 1 species
AUGACACCCACGCCACCAACCAUGUCGGCCGCCUCCUCUCCCGUUGCUUACGACCGCGCGGCCGACCUCCGCGCGCUGGACGCCACCUUCGCCGGCGUCACCGGCCUCGUCGCCUCCGGCCUCACGCACGUCCCCUGCAUCUUCCGCGUCCCUGAAGGCCACCACGACAAACAGGACACCACCGUCCUCGCCGGCGGCCAAGAAGAACCAGGGGCCAUCCCGGUGAUCGACCUCGGGUGCGGCGACCACGCGGCCGUGGUUGCCGCCGUCCGCCAGGCCGCGGCAGGGUGCGGGUUCUUCCAGGUGACAGGCCAUGCCGUGCCGGAGGCGGCGAUGGCCGCGGCGACGGACGCUAUGCGGGCGUUCCACGCGGCCGACGGCGGCGAGGGCACCGAGAAGGCGCGGCUCUACUCGCGUGACCCCAUCAAGCCGGUCAAGUACCAGUGCAACUUCGACCUCUACGAGUCGCCGGUGGCCAACUGGCGCGACACGCUCCACAUCCGCAUGGCCCCUGACCCGCCCGACGUCGGCGACAUACCGGAGAGCUGCCGCGAUGCACUGCUUGAAUAUACCGAGCAAGUUAAUAAAUUGGGAAAGACUUUGUUUGAGCUGCUCUCCGAAGCUCUUGGGCUCAAACCAAGCUACCUAACAGACAUGGAGUGCGACCAAGGACAGAUCUUAAUCUGCCACUAUUACCCUCCCUGCCCUCAGCCUAAACUCGCCAUCGGGACAAGCCGGCAUUCAGACGCCGGCUUCCUGACCAUACUCCUCCAAGAUGAAGUCGGCGGUCUACAGAUUUUCAACGAGGACCGGUGGGUAGAUGUCACGCCCACACCCGGAGCAUUCAUUGUGAACAUCGGCGAUCUCUUACAGCUGAUCUCCAAUGACGGGUUCAGGAGUGUGGAGCAUAGGGUGUUGGCGAAGAACGCUGCCCCUAGGGUCUCGAUCGCGUUCUUCUUCAGCACGCAUUUCCAUCCAGCCUCGACGAGGAUGUAUGGUCCAAUCAAGGAGCUGUUGACUGAAGAGAACAAACCAUUAUAUAGGGAAACUCUUGUGAGAGAUUACAUGAAGCAUUAUUUCUCCAUAGGGUUAGAUGCAAAAACUGCUAUUUCUGAUUUCCGGUUAUGA